GCAGCGGAGCAUGUGGUUUAAUUACGAAGCAACGCGAAGAAACCUUACCAAGACUUGACAUCCCCCUGACAGCUGUUGAAAGGCAGUGUCUCUUCGGAGCAGGGAGACAGGUGGUGCAUGGUUGUCGUCAGCUCGUGUCGUGAGAUGUUGGGUUAAGUCCCGCAACGAGCGCAACCCUUAUCCUUAGUUACCAGCACGUAAAGGUGGGGACUCUAGGGAGACCGCCGGGGACGACUCGGAGGAAGGUGGGGACGACGUCAAAUCAUCAUGCCCCUUAUGUCUUGGGCUACACACGUGCUACAAUGGCCGCAACAGAGGGAAGCGAGAGCGCAAGCUGGAGCAAAACCCUAAAAAGCGGUCCCAGUUCGGAUUGUGGGCUGCAACCCGCCCACAUGAAGUCGGAGUUGCUAGUAAUCGCGAAUCAGCAUGUCGCGGUGAAUGCGUUCCCGGGCCUU
rnacentral:rRNA from 1 species